GAUGAACGCUGGCGGCGUGCUUAACACAUGCAAGUCGAACGGUGAAGGCGGAGCUUGCUCUGCUGGAUCAGUGGCGAACGGGUGAGUAACACGUGAGCAAUCUGCCCCUGACUCUGGGAUAAGCGCUGGAAACGGCGUCUAAUACUGGAUACGAGCUGCGAAGGCAUCUUCAGCAGCUGGGAAGAAUUUCGGUCAGGGAUGAGCUCGCGGCCUAUCAGCUUGUUGGUGAGGUAAUGGCUCACCAAGGCGUCGACGGGUAGCCGGCCUGAGAGGGUGACCGGCCACACUGGGACUGAGACACGGCCCAGACUCCUACGGGAGGCAGCAGCGGGGAAUAUUGCACAAUGGGCGAAAGCCUGAUGCAGCAACGCCGCGUGAGGGACGACGGCCUUCGGGUUGUAAACCUCUUUUAGCAGGGAAGAAGCGAAAGUGACGGUACCUGCAGAAAAAGCGCCGGCUAACUACGUG
rnacentral:rRNA from 1 species